AUCACUUCUUGGCCUUUUGGCUAAGAUCAAGUUUAGUAUCUGUUCUUAUCAGUUUAAUGUAAUAGUGAAAAAUAAGGAGAAAUCCAUCAUCUCCAACAAUAGAUUUUUU
rnacentral:snRNA from 1 species